rnacentral:misc_RNA from 1 species
GUGAACGCCCUCACGGGCUUAUACUAUUCCAAACCUCUGUGAACCGUGCCCUUCGGGGCUAUUUUACAAACAUGGUGUAAUGAACGUCAUAUAUCAUAAUACAAAACA